GGUUGCGUAGUGUAGAGGUUAUCACCAUGGAUUCUGAUUCCAUAAACCCCGGUUCGAAUCCGGGCGCGACCG
rnacentral:tRNA from 1 species